rnacentral:rRNA from 1 species
UGUGUAGGCGGUUGUUUAAGUUUGGUGUGAAAUCUCCCGGCUCAACUGGGAGGGUGCGCCGAAUACUGAGCGACUAGAGUGCGGGAGAGGAAAGUGGAAUUCCUGGUGUAGCGGUGAAAUGCGUAGAUAUCAGGAGGAACACCGGUGGUGUAGACGGCUUCCUGGACCGUAACUGACGCUGAGACACGAAAGCGUGGGUAGCAAACA